CUUGAGCAAAAACCUGAGAUAUUUCUGAUGGAGUACUUCAGCCUUGACAUAGAUCAAGAAGGGAACUUGUCCAACUGGUCAGUACACACCUGAUAUCAAUAAGAGAUCGUCUGCCACAGUUUGUUUGGAGAACAGUCUUCAGGGCAUAAUGUGGUGGCAUACUGUUUGAACUUGCAUUAGAUUCUUCUCCUUUCUUUUGGCCUUUUUCCUUAUGAACUAAUCCAACCUUUCCCUUUGGGGAACAGGAGAGAACUGCGCCACUAUAUCUUGCUCUUAAACUUUUCACCCAAGGUCUUUGAGAUGAAAGCUUAAUAUUUUCCACCAAAGGAGGGUGUGAUCUUGCAAAAUGAAGAACCCGCAGACUUGUAUAUUCUGGUCAUUGAUGCUGUUGUAUACCUCUGAAAUUACUCCAUAUGAUCUGCCACAACUUUUAACCUUAUCUGUGUGCUAAGGUCAGUUGUUUUUUCGGUCAUUAUAGGGCAAUCCAUUGUUCGCCUUACUUCAAUGAAGCCCAUCUUCAGUAUUUAUGAAUAUCUUUACGCAUGACUAAUUUCUUUGUUGAAUUGUUACUUGUCCCAAUUCUGUGAAGAGGUAUGGAGUUAUUGAAUGCCCACUUGCAUUGUAUGUGAAGUGCUUGAUGCAACAAUAAGUUGCCUACUCAUUCCUUAUUUUUUUAAUCAGGCGCUGACCUUUCUGUUCUUGUGAGUUGACUAUAAUGGAUCGCUCAUUUUAAUUUUAAAUGUUUGUUAGAAUGUCGAACUUUAAUAUGAAGUGAAUUUUGUGAAUAGUCAUAUAUGAAGAAUUGAUGCAUGCUUUUUUCAUUGUUAUUUCGAGUUUUACCCAAAAGUGUGCUAACAUGAAAAAUCUCGUGUCAAAUGUAAACUCAAUGCGUGUUUGUUCUUCAAACAGUGAAAUACCUGUAGGAUAUACAGAGGCAUUUUGUUAUUUCCUAGACACUAUGUUUUUGGUUACCACAUUAUUUCUUUAUUCUGCUUCACACUCUGAUGACCGUGGGUACCAGAUCCUACCUACAGCAUGUUGAUCUCGCCUCAACUAGUUGGCUGACAGUCAUCUUUUAGGUGCGUAGGAGGUUAACAAUCACAGCUCGAAUAAAAAACCUGAAGGUCUCCCAUUCUGCUUGCCUCGAGGUCCUGGCCUGACAGUCAUCUUCACAAAUAAAUCUUUGAUACCGAUUUUGUUAGCAACGAUGGGACGAUAGGAGUACAACUGUGGUAGCAGGACUGCUUGGUGGAGGUUGCAUCAUAAUUUACAGUAAUAUUCUAUGUUGAAUUUAUUGAUGUGUGCUUGGGAGUUGAAUUUAUUUUUGUUUUGGAAUAUCGCUUAUGUUAAUGGCGAGUGACUGAAGUUGCUUGAUAGUUGUCUAUAAUUUUUUUUCAUUGUUGUGAACUUUAUACAGUAUUUGGGAAAAUAGUGCAGGCAUAUUGUUAUUAUAAUAAUAAAAAAAGUUACCAGUAUAGUUAUUGGCGCAAUGGUAGUCCAGCGCUACCAUGGUAGUUCAUUUGUUUCAGCGAUCCUGACAGAUGAUUGCAUCAUGUAAAUGUUGAGAGUUUUUGCUCUCUCUCUAAAUUCGCCCAUCACGCUCCACAUUCAUCCGUUCAUCAACACCCACAAGAAGUUAUGGAGAGGAAAAAGUUUACUGAGUCCACAGAUAUCCGGGGGAAAUCGUUCACAUUCUUUCCUUUUGAUGUCUAUAUAUAGCCUCAUUUAUUUCCACACAUUGGCAGCUAAACAAAGGCAGCAGAAGAUAUGGCCGAGAACAGAGAAUCCUUUCUCCUCCUCCUCUGUUCCAUCAUUUUCAUUACUGUUCCACCGGCUUAUGGGUGGGGAAAGGAUGCGCAUUUCAUCAUUGGCAGAAUAGCUCAAGCGAGGCUGAGUGAGAAAACAGCUGCAGCAGUGAACGAUCUGCUGGUGCUUGUGCUUGUGGGCCGACCAUGUGAAGUUCAGGUUUUCGUGGUCGUCUCCCCUUCACUACAUCGAUACGCCAGACUCCCUGUGCACUUUUGCCUAUAAGAGGGACUGCAAAAAUGAAGCAGGAGAAGCAGAUAUGUGUGUUGCUGGUGGAAUAAAAAACUACACACGCCAACUCGAGGCCUACUCGGACUCGUCUCUUCGAUCGCAAUGAGACGUGCACCAGGUUUGACACUCGAAUCUGCUGUUAUAGUUUGCUCGAGUUCCAGUUUUUUAUUGAUUUCACUUUAAUUACUACAAACAAGGGAGGCAACAUCAUCGACGUAAAGUGGUUCACAAGGAAGACCGUUCUCCAUCACGUCUGGGAUGACAGCCUGAUCGAGACGGCAGUAGAGAGAUUCUAUGGCUCAGAUGUAGAGAGCCUGUUAGAUGCAAUUCAAAGUAAUAUUACGGGGGCCUGGGCUGGCAGAAUUGAUGGAUGGGAAUAAUGCAGCCGUGGCUUCACUGCUUGUCCUGAUGGGUACAUAUAUCAUCAUUCCCGCAUAUGUAAUAUUACCCUGCUCAUGGCUUCUCACUUUUAAAUCUUACGAAGCUAUUUUGUGCGGGGACAGCAACAGUCGCCGGUUUCUGUGCAAUUGCGGGUUGAAACUUAAACGUGACUUCUGUUUUGCUGUUAUGCGUCUGAAAGUAUUACUGCGGUCUGUAAUUUUUUUUUUGGUACAACUGCGGUCUGUAAUUUUGCUUACAAGGAUGUCGACGAAGGUUCACUCUUGGAAGAUUACUUUUUGUCUCGUCUACCCACUGUCUACUUGCGUCUGGCCGAAGCUGGAGUUCGAUUGGCUGCAACUCUCAAUCGUGCUCUAGGAUAAGCAUCUGUAACAGGAGACUGCCACUACAAGAGUUCUCUUUACGGAUUCAGAUGGGAGAAGAUCCAGCUACAUGGAUUGAUUCUUCAACACUGCCGGCAUCCAGGUAGCUCAUCAGCUUCAACUUUGCUUCGGUAGGAAUACGAGUGGGACGAAGGUUCUCGUCAAGCCAUACAACUACUGAUGUGCCCUCCAAGGCAAGCUGAGAGAUUAACAAGAAAUGCAGAAUCAGGACCUUUCAUUUCAGUUAAAAUGCCAUAACUUUUUCCUUGUGAAACAUUUUGCAGUUAAUAGCUGAUACCUCCUUGUUUGUAAGCUUGAAAAUGUAGUACUCGAAGCGCAUUCUUGUGGCCGAAACUUCUGAGAUUUUCAUUUUCAGAACAAAGCUAUCUCUCCGCUGCAUGUGCAAUGCAAUAAUGAGACAGUAUUGAAGAAUCA